ACAGUGGACGCGAGCAUCUGUGGCCAAGUUUUUAAGGGCGCACGGUGGAUGCCUUGGCACCAGGAACCGAUGAAGGACGUGGGAGGCCGCGAUAGGCCCCGGGGAGCUGUCAACCGAGCUGUGAUCCGGGGGUGUCCGAAUGGGGAAACCCGGCAGUCGUCAUGGGCUGUCACCCGCUGCUGAACACAUAGGCAGUGUGGAGGGAACGAGGGGAAGUGAAACAUCUCAGUACCCUCAGGAAGAGAAAACAACCGUGAUUCCGGGAGUAGUGGCGAGCGAAACUGGAUGAGGCUAAACCGUAUGUGUGUGAGACCCGGCAGGGGUUGCGCAUGCGGGGUUGUGGGAUUGCUCUUUCAUUGUCUGCCGGCGAUGAGGCGAGUGAGAAACCGUUGAUGUAGGCGAAGGGCAUGCGAAAGGCCCGGCGUAGAGGGUAAGACCCCCGUAGCUGAAACGUUAGCGGCUCGUUUGAGUUAUUCCCAAGUAGCACGGGGCCCGAGAAAUCCCGUGUGAAUCUGGCGGGACCACCCGCUAAGCCUAAAUAUUCCCUGGUGACCGAUAGCGGAUAGUACCGUGAGGGAAUGGUGAAAAGUACCGCGGGAGCGGAGUGAAAUAGUACCUGAAACCGUGUGCCUACAAGCCGUGGGAGCGUCGGGCGUGCCUUUUGGGGUGCGUCUCGUGACUGCGUGCCUUUUGAAGAAUGAGCCUGCGAGUUAGCGGUGUGUAGCGAGGUUAACCCGUGUGGGGAAGCCGUAGCGAAAGCGAGUCCGAAGAGGGCGUUUGAGUUGCAUGCUCUAGACCCGAAGCGGAGUGAUCUAGCCAUGGGCAGGUUGAAGCGGAGGUAAGACUUCGUGGAGGACCGAACCCACCAGGGUUGAAAACCUGGGGGAUGACCUGUGGUUAGGGGUGAAAGGCCAAUCAAACUCCGUGAUAGCUGGUUCUCCCCGAAAUGCAUUUAGGUGCAGCGUCGUGUGUUUCUUGCCGGAGGUAGAGCACUGGAUAGGCGAUGGGCCCUACCGGGUUACUGACCUUAGCCAAACUCCGAAUGCCGGUAAGUGAGAGCGCGGCAGUGAGACUGUGGGGGAUAAGCUCCAUGGUCGAGAGGGAAACAGCCCAGAGCAUCGACUAAGGCCCCUAAGCGUACGCUAAGUGGGAAAGGAUGUGGAGUCGCAGAGACAACCAGGAGGUUGGCUUAGAAGCAGCCACCCUUGAAAGAGUGCGUAAUAGCUCACUGGUCAAGUGAUUCCGCGCCGACAAUGUAGCGGGGCUCAAGCGUACCGCCGAAGUCGUGUCAUUGCGAUAUGUACUCCUAACGGGGAUCGUGAUGGGUAGGGGAGCGUCGUGUGCCGGGUGAAGCAGCCGUGGAAGCGAGUUGUGGACGGUUCACGAGUGAGAAUGCAGGCAUGAGUAGCGAUACACACGUGGGAAACGUGUGCGCCGAUUGACUAAGGGUUCCUGGGUCAAGCUGAUCUGCCCAGGGUAAGUCGGGACCUAAGGCGAGGCCGACAGGCGUAGUCGAUGGACAACCGGUUGAUAUUCCGGUACCCGCUUUGAAACGCCCAGUAUCGAGCCCAUUUAUGCUAAGGCCGUGAAGCCGUCGGCUGAGUCUUCGGACGAGGUCGGAGUGGUGGAGCCGCUGACCCGAGGUGGUAGUAGGUAAGCGAUGGGGUGACGCAGGAAGGUAGUCCAGCCCGGGCGGUGGUUGUCCCGGGGUAAGGGUGUAGGACGUUACGUAGGCAAAUCCGCGUGACAUGUUGUCUGAGACCUGAUGCCGAGCCGAUUGUGGUGAAGUGGAUGAUCCUAUGCUGUCGAGAAAAGCCUCUAGCGAGUUUCAUGGCGGCCCGUACCCUAAACCGACUCAGGUGGUCAGGUAGAGAAUACCGAGGCGUUCGGGUGAACUAUGGUUAAGGAACUCGGCAAAAUGCCCCCGUAACUUCGGGAGAAGGGGGGCCACGUCUGGUGAUGAGUCUUGCACUCUGAGCUGGGUGUGGCCGCAGAGACCAGCGAGAAGCGACUGUUUACUAAAAACACAGGUCCGUGCGAAGCCGUAAGGCGAUGUAUACGGACUGACGCCUGCCCGGUGCUGGAACGUUAAGGGGACCGGUUAGCUCCAUUUCGGUGGGGCGAAGCUGAGAACUUAAGCGCCAGUAAACGGCGGUGGUAACUAUAACCAUCCUAAGGUAGCGAAAUUCCUUGUCGGGUAAGUUCCGACCUGCACGAAUGGCGUAACGACUUCUCGACUGUCUCAACCAUAGGCCCGGUGAAAUUGCACUACGAGUAAAGAUGCUCGUUUCGCGCAGCAGGACGGAAAGACCCCGGGACCUUUACUACAGUUUGAUAUUGGUGUUCGGUUCGGCUUGUGUAGGAUAGGUGGGAGACUGUGAAGCUUGGACGCCAGUUCAGGUGGAGUCGUCGUUGAAAUACCACUCUGGUCGUGCUGGAUGUCUAACCUGGGUCCGUGAUCCGGAUCAGGGACAGUGUCUGAUGGGUAGUUUAACUGGGGCGGUUGCCUCCUAAAGGGUAACGGAGGCGCCCAAAGGUUCCCUCAGCCUGGUUGGUAAUCAGGUGUUGAGUGUAAGUGCACAAGGGAGCUUGACUGUGAGACCGACGGGUCGAGCAGGGACGAAAGUCGGGACUAGUGAUCCGGCGGUGGCUUGUGGAAGCGCCGUCGCUCAACGGAUAAAAGGUACCCCGGGGAUAACAGGCUGAUCUUCCCCAAGAGUCCAUAUCGACGGGAUGGUUUGGCACCUCGAUGUCGGCUCGUCGCAUCCUGGGGCUGGAGUCGGUCCCAAGGGUUGGGCUGUUCGCCCAUUAAAGCGGUACGCGAGCUGGGUUUAGAACGUCGUGAGACAGUUCGGUCCCUAUCCGCUGUGCGCGUAGGAGUCUUGAGAAGGGCUGUCCCUAGUACGAGAGGACCGGGACGGACGAACCUCUGGUGUGCCAGUUGUCCUGCCAAGGGCAUGGCUGGUUGGCUACGUUCGGGAGGGAUAACCGCUGAAAGCAUCUAAGCGGGAAGCCUGCUUCGAGAUGAGGGCUCCCACCCACUUGAUGGGGUAAGGCUCCCAGUAGACGACUGGGUUGAUAGGCCGGAUAUGGAAGCCAGGUGACUGGUGGAGUUGACCGGUACUAAUAGGCCGAGGGCUUGUCCUCAGUUG
rnacentral:rRNA from 1 species